ACGGAUACUCUGGUGGUCCCGCACGUAGGAUAGUAGAAGAAUGUAUCGUCUAACCCAAUCAGAAGAAGACACAUAUCUUGAUGAAGAAAGAGUGAAAGAUAUUUGAAAAAUGUUUUGGUUACAUUAUUUUGUGUCUGGUUAAGGUGACGUUGGCUUGGACAUGACAGCGACAGGGAUGUGAGUGGUCUGGUCCCCUGUCUGUCCCAUUUACUAAUUACCUACAAAACAAUUAUGUUGACGUGAAAAAGAACGUUAAGCCAGUACAAAAU
rnacentral:lncRNA from 1 species